GAUUCCAAUUCCAAAUCGCAAAGCCCCAGAUUUUAAUUUUACAACUUCUUUAUACAGAUGAAGAAAAUGGCAGAAGCCUAUCUCCCGGGAGAACUGCUGGCUGAAAUCUUAAAGAGAUUGCCCGUGAAAUCUUUGCUGCGGUUCAGGUCAGUUUCCAAAUCAUGGUGCUCUCUAAUCGGCAACCCAGAAUUCAUCACUCUUCACAGGAAUUACAACAUCAACCACCCUCGCAUUAUGGUUAAUUACUACCCUUCGAAGCUCUAUGCCCUGCACUAUGAUAAUGACGCAUUUGAGUUGCAUACUGAGGUUGAAUUCCCUUUUAUGAGGCUUAAUAGGUACUAUCGAGUAUUGGGUUCUUGUAAUGGGUUGAUUUUCGUGGGAACUAAUUUGGUUUCCUUUGCAAGUGAUUUGUUUCUAUGGAACCCUUCUAUUAGGAAAUUUGUGACCCUUCCAACGCCUGGAAUCACUUUCAAUUCCCACGGUCCAUAUAGGCCGGUUUUUGGAUUUGGGUUUGAUUCCAAGAGUAAUGAUUACAAGGUGGUCAGAAUUGUUUAUCUUCAAGGAAGAAAUGGGUUGAGUAAGGUUCCACCUGAGGUCGAGCUUUAUGAGCUGCAUACUGGUACUUGGAGGGGCAUAACUGCUGUUGUGCCUCCGUUCGAGAUGCGUAACUAUUCAUGUCAGGCUAAUAUGAUCAAUGGUGCAGUGCACUGGAUUGCUUAUAGUCCAACCAAGAACGGCGGGUUUCCUAAUUUAAUUGUGGCUUUUGAUCUGAGUGAUGAGGUCUUUAAGGAGAUGAGGUUCCCAAACACGUUGGCCAACAAGUGUCCACUGAAAAUGUCUAUUGCAGCAUGUGGUGAAUUGCUUUCUGUGUUCCAUUACUAUCUAAGUUCUUCCAAUGGAUAUUGUAGUCUUUGGGUGAUGGAAAAGUAUGGCAUGGAUAAUUCUUGGACUAAACUUUUCAAUAUAGAAUUGUGGCAAGGAGUGCAUGAAGUAUUAGGAUCCAGGAAAAAUGGCGAGCUUCUAGUGAUAACAAGUGAUCAGAAACUAGUUUCUUAUGACCCAGAUGUUGAACAGGUUAAGGACCUUGGAAUUCGUAGGAUCCCAACCUCAUUGCAUGUUAAUACUUGCAUUGAAAGCCUAAAUUUACUUGAUAGAGCUUAUGGGGUCUUGGGUUAUGAUUCCGUCCCUGGUUUGCUUGGAGAGGAUGGAAGUGAAACCGAGGACAGUUAAUGAUUCAAAAUGCCUGAGGCUAGGGCCAUGAGGAUCACUUGACCUAGUGAGCUGAAGAUAUUCCUGAUGUAGAGCGUCCAAUAUGGAAGAAGAAUGAUGCUCAAUUAUGGGCAGCUCUCUGGCAGUCUAUUAACUGCUCCCUUGCAGUCCGAUACUGGGCAUACAAAAAGCUAUUGUGAUGUUUCAGAGAAAGACUGAAAAUUAUAUACCAGUGAUGUCUCUUUGUUUCUACACGAUUUUCUCCAACAUGAUUACCUUAAAGAAGCAGACAUGGCUAUGCAAAUCUAUUUAGAUUUGCCUCCUACUGUUACCUUAGCUAAUGUGGCUCACAGACUAAAGUUAAAGACAUUGGCAAGGAUCAAGGUAUGGGACGAAAGAUUGGCACAGAGUGUGAAUCACAAGGGCUCUACCAUCUUAACAUAGCAAUCACCCUUGUGGUGUGUGUGUCCUAUUACUGCAUCACUGAAACAACCACUUAGUUCAUCCCAAUCUUUGAAAACUUCAUCAAAUGGUUCUUAGCCUAUCCAAAUUGUCAUCUUUAGAAUGUGAGUCAUGUCAGCUUGGGAAACAUGUUUGUAGUUCAUUUUCAAGUCGUAUCACGAGUCGAGUUGAGUCUCCUUUUUCUUUAGUCAACUCUAGUGUGUGGGGUUUGAGUUGUGUCCAUUCAACUUUGAGUUUUAGAUAUUUCGUUACUUUUAUUGAUGAUUAUUCUUGAUGUACUUGGUUGUUUUUAAUGAAGGAUCAUUCAUAAUUAUUUUCUAUCUUCCAAACCAUCUGUUUUGAAAUUUGAACCCCAUUUGGUGUUUCCAUUAAAACUUUAUGCAGUGACAAUGCACAUGAAUAUUUCUCUGUUUCCUUUUAGUCUCUUAUGACUUUGUAGGGUAUCCUUCAUCAAUUAUCUUGCCCUCAUAUUCAACAAAACAGUGGCUAAACAAAAAAAUAGAUACCUGAUUGAGACAACCUGUACUUUACUAAUUCAAACCAAUGUCACAUUGGAAUUCUAGGGAGAUGCAGUACUUAUCGCCUGUUACUUAAUCAAUUGCAUGCCUUCUUCUGUGCUACACAAUCAGGUUCCACAUUCUAUCUUGUUCCCUCAACAGUCACUUAUUUCUCUUCCCCCUCAUAUUUUUGGGUGUACUUGCUUUGUUUAUGAUCUCACUCCAGGCAAAGACAAGCUGGUAGCUCGAUCCCUCAAAUAUAUUUUCUUGGGCUACUCUCGGUUGUAAAAAGGCUACCAGUAUUAUUCCCCAUAUCUCAAUCGUUAUGUUAUGUUUGUUGAUGUCAUCUUCUUUGAGACCAACUCCUUAUUCUCUCGUACCUCUACUGCACGCCACACUAUCUUGAUGUCCUUCUUGUCUUGUAUGUUGGCAAUAUCCCUAUCUACCCAUUUGACACAACUCCUUCCUCUACUUCCCCUCCUCUACUCCUCACAUAUCAUCGACGACCUUGAUUUGUACCUACACCAGAUAACACCCCUUCACCUAUUCUUGAUGAUGUACGCACUGCUCCAAUGGUUUCCCUCACCAUGUUUCCUAAUGCAAGUCCUCCCCUUGCCAUUCAGAAAAGUACUUGUUUCACAUGUAAUCCGCAUCCCAUCAUGUUUGGUGUCAGACAAUGCUUGAUGAAAUGGUUGCUUUAUGCUCUAUUGGUGCUUGGGAAUUUGUUCUGCUGCCACCUGGGAAAUCUACUAUUGGUUGUUGUUGGAUCUAUAUCGUCAAAGUCAACCCCACUAGUUAAAUUGAUUACCUCAAAGCUUGUUUGGUUGCUAAGGGGUAUACCCAAAUCUUUGGCCUUUUGAUUAUGGCAAUACUUUCUCACUAGUGGCCAAGAUUACUUUUGUUCGCCUCUCUCACCAUGGUUGCUAUCCGUUGUUGGCCCCUCCAUUUGUUGGAUGUUAACAAUGCCUUCUUCCAUGGUAGGAAGAGGUUUAUAUGGAACAACCUCUAGGUUUUGUUGCUUAGGGGGAGUUUGGAUUGCUAUGUCGACUACGCAUAUCUCUCUAUGGCCUAAAAUAAUCUCCAUGAGUUUGGUUUAGGCCAUUCAACUUUGUUGUACAACAGUUUAGCAUGACUCGCAGUGAGGUCGAUCACUCAAUAUUUUAUCACUACUCCUUGCCCAACCUCUGCAUUCUCUAGUGGUUUAUGUGGAUGAUAUCAUUAUUACAGAUAGUGACCAAGAAGGCAUCCAAAAGCUAAAACAACACCUUGUUCAUCACUUUCAAGCCAAAGACUUGGGUAAAUUGGAGUACUUUUUGAGCAUUGAGGUGGCCUAAUCAAGUUUUGGUAUUGCCAUUUCACAAAGAAAGUAUGUCUUAGACAUACUCGAAGAGACAUAGAUGAUGGAUGCUGAGGCUAUUGAUACUCCAAUGGAUCCAAACUCCUACUAGGACAAGGGGAGCUUUUAGCAAACCCUAGUAGGUAUUGCAGACUUGUUGAAAAUUGAAUUAUCUCACGGUAACUUGACCUGACAUUUCCUUUGUUGUGAGUGUUGUUAGUUAGUUUUAGGAUUCUCCUUGUGAUAGUCAUUGGAAUGUUGUGACUCACAUCUUGAGAUACAUCAAAAGGGCACACUUAGGUGGUUGGAUAUUCAGAUGCUGAUGGGGCAGGAUCACGCUCUACUUCUGGGUACUAUGUAUUUGUUUUAGGCAACUUAAUAUCAUGGAAAAGUAAGAAAUAAAAUAUGGUUGCCAGGUUUAGUGUACAAGCUGAAUAUUGAGCUAUGGCUGUAGCAACCUAUGAACUCGUAUGGUUGAAGCAAUUGCUCCAAAAACUGAAAUUUGGAGACAUUAGGCAAAUGAAGUUGAUAUGUGAUAAUUAGGCAGCUCUUCACUUGCCUCUAAUCCAAUUUCUCAUGAAAGGAGCAAACAUAUAGAAAUUGAUUGUCAUUGUGUUAAGAGAGAAGGUUCUUUCAAAAGAUAUUGCUACUGCAUUUGUGAACUCUAAUGACCAACUAGCUGAUAUCUUAAUUGAAUCCCUCCAUGGGCCAAGGAUAACUUACAUAUGUACCAAGCUUGGUGCAUAUGAUAUGACAUGUAUGUUCUACCUUGUGGGGGAGUGUUGAAUAUUGAAAUUGUGGUAUAGUUGACCCAAUUGAUUAGCUGAUUUGAUAGGCUGCAUUUCAGGCAGAAUUCUUUGCCUAAUUUUCUGUUGUAAAUAUGUUCCGCAUUAUCAUAAAUAUAUAUUAAAAUUGAGACUCUUUCUCGCAGGCAUUUUGCCAAUUCUCUCUUCUCACAGUAUUUAAUAGGUAUUUGUUACUUGAUAAGGACAUAGAUGGAUGAUUAUGUAAUAUAUGUUUUACUUGAUAAAUAUGAGUACAGGUGUGGAGAUACUCGAGACAUUGUGAUUCCUACUCAAUUUAUAUGAUGAUGAAUGGAGAAAAUAAUUUUGAUUUAGAGAUUUCAUUUGAUAAUUAUUUUUAUUGAUUUUAACUUAAAGCCAAUAUAAGAAAUAAAAAAGAGCUACAACAUAACAGGCUAAAUAAGUAAAUAUCACUUUUUCUUGUCUUUCCCCGUAAGAAUAAUGAUGUUUCCCCUGAAAUCAGCGUUGUCAAAAUCAAAGCAGCGCUAUUUUUGUCAUUCUUCUCACUAGACAGAAUUUCGACCCUUGA